rnacentral:rRNA from 1 species
UACGUAGGUGACCAGCGUUGUCCGGAUUUACUGGGCGUAAAGAGCGCGCAGGCGGUCGUUCAAGUCGAGUGUGAAAGCCCCCGGCUCAACUGGGGAGGGUCACUCGAUACUGAUCGACUGGAAGGCAGGAGAGGGAAGCGGAAUUCCCGGUGUAGUGGUGAAAUGCGCAGAUAUCAGGAGGAACACCAAUGGCGAAGGCAGCACUCUGGGACGUGACUGACGCUGAGACGCGAAAGCGUGGGGAGCAAACAGG